AGAGUUUGAUCAUGGCUCAGAAUGAACGCUGGCGGCAUGCCUAACACAUGCAAGUCGAACGAAGGCUUCGGCCUUAGUGGCGCACGGGUGCGUAACGCGUGGGAAUCUGCCCUCAGGUUCGGAAUAACAGCGAGAAAUUGCUGCUAAUACCGGAUGAUAUCGCGAGAUCAAAGAUUUAUCGCCUGAGGAUGAGCCCGCGUAGGAUUAGCUAGUUGGUGUGGUAAAGGCGCACCAAGGCGACGAUCCUUAGCUGGUCUGAGAGGAUGAUCAGCCACACUGGGACUGAGACACGGCCCAGACUCCUACGGGAGGCAGCAGUGGGGAAUAUUGGACAAUGGGCGAAAGCCUGAUCCAGCAAUGCCGCGUGAGUGAUGAAGACCUUAGGGUUGUAAAGCUCUUUUACCCGGGAUGAUAAUGACAGUACCGGGAGAAUAAGCUCCGGCUAACUCCGUGCCAGCAGCCGCGGUAAUA
rnacentral:rRNA from 1 species